ACAUGGCUUCCAUCAGUUCAGACGAAAUCCGAGCCAGUGUGCGAAAGAUUUUGAAAGGGGCAGAUUUGACUUCGUUGUCAUCGAAGAAAGUUCGCCGCAUGCUCGAAGAGCAGUAUGACGCUGACUUCACGGACAGGAAACAAGAAAUAGAUGAUAUUUUAAUGAAAGCCAUAAGUGAAGAAGAAGAUAGCCAGAAUAGUCAAGCGAGCAAUGGGAAAAAUUCAGAGUCUGAGGCAUCAUCGGAAAGUGAGGAUGAGAUUGAGGUUGAGCCACCAAAGAAGAAGGCAAAGCCCAGUACUAAGUCAAAAGGCAAAAAGAGUUCUAAACCCAUCACACCGCACAAUACAUCAGCAGACUUAUCAGAUGACGAAGCAGAUGUGGAUGAUGAAGAAUUAGCUAAACAGUUACAAGAGGAAGAAUCUGGUGGACGGAAAUCCAGGCAUCGAUCAGUCAAAAAGUCUCCAGUUCAAAAGAAAAAGAAGAGGAAAGAAAAAACCCCAAGGAAAACGGGGACGAGUACGUACAGUCAGCCGUGUGUGUUGUCUCCAGAUCUAGCCACAAUCAUGGGCACAGAUAGGAUGGCCAGAAAAGAUGUUGUGAAAAGGAUGUGGGAAAUUGUGAAAGAAAGAAAAUUAGAGGAUCCCAAAAACAGACAAUUUAUGGUUUGUGAUGAGGAAUUAUUUAAAGUCUUCGGCAAGAAGAGGAUUCGGACUUUUGGCAUGAUGAAAUUUUUGAAAUCACAUAUAAAAGAUAUGAAGGAUAUUGUUGAGUAGGAAGUGUUUGGUGGGAAGAUGCUUAUCUUUGUGUACUGUCUGUAUUACUCCUCUAACGGUUUUACACCUCAUCUGUCAGAUGGAGCAAUUUUCCAGGUUGUUACCUGUUACAACUAAGCGAAAAUUAGCAGGACCUUGGGAGGGUGGCUGGUAGUUAUUCGUGACUGCCAAACAGUGAAUGUAUGCAAAUGUGGAAAACUGACGUGUUGUUGGAUCCAAGGUCACUUUGAGGAACAGUGAGUUCACCUUUAUCAAACAGAGUUUGUGGUGCCUAUACAGUGUGUGUGUGUAUAUAUGUGCGGACGUCACCGUGGAGAUGCCUGACCAUGGAUAUGCUAAUGUACUGGUAGUCCCUUCAUCCCCUGCAGACUCCCAAGCACCUUCCAGGCUAAUGAUCGGAGGAACACUUAUAUCAUUAUCCCAUUAAAUCCUAGAAGGAUUGGGGUUUUUUAAUUUUGUUUAAAUACAUCCAUACAUGGACCCUAUGGUGUCUCAGUUCUCUCACCUUAAUACAGAGGUGUUUUUUGCUGUUGUUUUUUUUACUUAGUUUGUAGCCAAGAAACUUUGAAGAACGGAUUCUAAUCAACCGUUUAAUAAAUCGGGGUUUACAAAACAAAACAAUGACAACAAUGAAAUCUUCUGAAAUAAUUGCUCUGAAUGCCUGUGUUUUAAGAUAGUCAUUGGAAAAAUAACUUGAGUUUUCUUUCCAUACCUGUACACAUGUGCCAGCUGUUCCUUUUAGGCACAAUUAAUAUUGUGUGAUUGAGUUAAUGUUGUUGUUUGUUUUUUUUGGGGGGCUUUUUUUUUUUUCUAACAUAGAUUAUUUAGUGGCUGUGGUGUUUUUAUUUGCUUGUGGCAGAGUAGCAUUAUUUGUGAACAUUUACAUACACCUACAUCUAGUUGAACUAGAUGAACUGUAAUGUAUAUGUUUUAGACUAGUUUUAAAUCUUCAUUCCUGCUGGAAAAAGUUCCUGGCAAAUGUUGUCUACUGGAAUGAAAGACUGACUUUUUAUACUGCUAUUGUAGAUGAGGCUUUGAAAGCCUGGUACCAUUCCGAGUCACACAGCACACAACCUACUGUAUUCAGGACGUUCCAGUUUGAAACAUGAGCUGCUAUUAGAUGGUCUGCAGCCUGAAGUUGGAAGGUUUUUCAGGUGCUUGGUGGUCUUUGGUAGGUUUCCUUUAGCCAUGAAGACCUAUCAGUGAAACAGUCUGGAGCAUUGCAAUAAAACAAACGCUGUAAUUGUCUUAGAUGUAGACUGGAGGGAUUUAACACGGUACUAUGUUAAAUGUAUAUUCUCAUAUAAAUCAUAUUCAUCUCUUAAAUUUGUUGAAGGUUUUUCACUAUAGUCUAUUUCCUUUUAAAGAGUGGCCUGUUUUUAGCUGCUCGCUACCAAAAUUUCCUUUUGUCAGUUACACGUAACAACACAAGCUCUACACAUGGAUAAGUUAGAAGAGAAAUUUUAAAGCUGGAUGUUAGGAAAUUUUGUUUCAGGAAACAACGUAGUGUAUUCGCUGAGAGUGUAGUGUAGGGUGCGUUACUGCGUGGAGUUUGUUCUGACCGCAUGUUGGUCCACCUGUUGUAAAACAAAUUUAUAAUACUCUCCACGUCCAUUGUCCAGCAUGCCACUGUUUUUAAAAUAAUGAUGACGUCACCCAGGGCAAUGAGAAAAUCAACUUCAAACUCUUCUACUUUAUGAUGUUAAACAGAAGCAGCUCAGUUUCAAGACCAAAAACUCAUUGUCCUGGGUGACGUCAUAAUUAUUUUAAAAAGAGUUAAAAAUCAUACUGCGGCAAGAUCAUAUACUACAAAAAAUAAAAUUCAUUUGUUACGGUUAUAUAUUAUUAAAAUGUGUAAACAAUUUCAAAUAUGGCAAUGUCAGAAACAUCGAUAUCAGCUUAGAUGACUGAUGUUCGUCAAAACACGUUGAACUCCGCCCAUUGUCCAGCACGCCACUGGUUUCUUAAUAAUUAUGACGUCACCUGAGGCAAUGGGUUCUUGCCGUCAAAACCGAGCUUAUGGACUUAUCUUGCAAUAAUGUGAUCUUCAAACAUCAGUGUGUAAAGCUUAUGUUGGUACGUGUCACUGACUAAAGGUUAUUUUGGUAGUGAGAAUGACUGAUUUAUACACAGCUGAAUAUCGGUGACUCUCUAAAAGAAAUUGACUAUAGACGAAACUGCACUGUUUUCCACAGUGUUCUGUUUGCAGCCUUGUUAUGUGUUUGAACAGUUUGAAAUUACAGAUACAUGAAUAUAGACAUAUAAACAGUGCUUACUGUAAUUCUUCAACCCAUUCGCAUGGUUGCAAGGUGUUUAUCCAAGCAUAUUCUGAAGGUAAUAUUCAGUGUAGACUUACGAAAUUAUAAUUUUUGUGAAGCCCUGAAAUUGGUUAAUCCAACCAAAUGCGCAUAAAUUGCUCUGAAAGUUGCCCUUUCAUGUGUGAAAAGGUUGAGGAAUUGGGGCAUGUGUAUAUAAGGUAAAAGCAGUCGAGAUUCUUUGAUUCUUUUGACAUUUCUCUGGCUAGAUAAUGUACAUGUAUUUAUCAUUUAUCAAAGAUGGCAUGUUUAUAGUUUUUUUUAGAGCUAUGCAAGCAUUUAAAACUUAUAUAUAUAAUCAGUGAAAUUUCCAUUAUAUGUUUAAGAGUCUUGAAGUCUGCCCUGUAGAGCUGUAGAAGGCACAAAUCCCAUGGGUGUACUACAAUUACCACAAUGAAAUCAGUUUGGAAUUUUCAAAAAAUGUUGAUUAAUAAAUGUAUCCUUCACAUACA